AUUGAACGCUGGCGGCAUGCCUUACACAUGCAAGUCGAACGGCAGCGCGGGGCAACCUGGCGGCGAGUGGCGAACGGGUGAGUAAUAUAUCGGAACAUACCCUACGAGUGGGGGAGUAACGUAGCGAAAGUUACGCUAAUACCGCAUACGCACUAAGGUGGAAAGUAGGGGGAGUCUUCGGACCUCAUGCUCAUGGAGUGGCCGAUAUCUGAUUAGCUAGUUGGUGAGGUAAAGGCUCACCAAGGCGACGAUCAGUAGCUGGUUUGUAGAGAACGACCAGCCACACUGGAACUGAGACACGGUCCAGACUCCUACGGGAGGCAGCAGUGGGGAAUUUUGGACAAUGGGGGGCAACCCUGAGUCCAGCAAUGCCGCGUGAGUGAAGAAGGCC
rnacentral:rRNA from 1 species